GUUAGCUCAGUUGGUUAGAACAUGGAGCUGAUAACACCAAGGUCAGAGGUUCGAUCCCCAUAUGAGCCA